UACGAAGGGUGCAAACGUUGCUCGGAAUUAUUGGGCGUAAAGCGCACGUAGGCGGCUCUGAAAGUUGGAUGUGAAAGCCCUCGGCUCAACCGAGGAAGUGCAUCCAAAACUGCAGAGCUUGAGUACUUAAGAGGAUCGCGGAAUUCCCGGUGUAGAGGUGAAAUUCGUAGAUAUCGGGAGGAACACCAGUGGCGAAGGCGGCGAUCUGGGAAGAUACUGACGCUGAGGUGCGAAAGCGUGGGGAGCAAACAGG
rnacentral:rRNA from 1 species